CAGCAGCCGCGGUAAUACGAAGGGUGCAAGCGUUAAUCGGAAUUACUGGGCGUAAAGCGUGCGUAGGUGGUGAGUUAAGUCUGCUGUGAAAUCCCCGGGCUCAACCUGGGAAUGGCAGUGGAUACUGGCUCGCUAGAGUGUGUCAGAGGAUGGUGGAAUUCCCGGUGUAGCGGUGAAAUGCGUAGAGAUCGGGAGGAACAUCAGUGGCGAAGGCGGCCAUCUGGGACAACACUGACGCUGAGGCACGAAAGCGUGGGGAGCAAACAGGAUUAGAUACCCCGGUAGUCCCUGUCUCUUAUAC
rnacentral:rRNA from 1 species